CUAAAGAUUCACGUCUUUGGUUCCAUCUUGUGCACUGUUACCCCUCUUCAGUACUUGUUGGCCUUGUGAUGGCUCGUGCUGUUGAGGCCCUGUUUUACCCUUUUUUACUUUAAUUUGAUAACUUCUGUUAGGUGGGGAAUAUAAU
rnacentral:misc_RNA from 1 species